rnacentral:rRNA from 1 species
CCUACGGGAGGCAGCAGUGAGGAAUAUUGGUCAAUGGACGCGAGUCUGAACCAGCCAAGUAGCGUGAAGGAUGACUGCUCUAUGGGUUGUAAACUUCUUUUAUAUGGGAAUAAAAUGUUCCACGUGUGGCUUUUUGUAUGUACUUUAUGAAUAAGGAUCGGCUAACUCCGUGCCAGCAGCCGCGGUAAUACGGAGGAUCCGAGCGUUAUCCGGAUUUAUUGGGUUUAAAGGGAGCGUAGGUGGGUGGUUAAGUCAGUUGUGAAAGUUGUCGGCUCAACCGUCAAAUUGCAGUUGAAACUGGCAGUCUUGAGUACAGUUGAGGUUGGCGGAAUUCGUGGUGUAGCGGU